UGGUCCAGGUGAGCAGGAUUCCUCAGGUUCUCGCAGCUCGCGUUCUGAUUGGCUAAAGCAGGCAUCUGUCAAGGGAGCGGACACGCGGGACAGAAACCUGUUAGCCCCUCGGAAAAAAUCCAACACCCUGCAGGGUUUUUACUGAAAUCCCAGAUUCCUCCGGAGCAGGAGGCCGUCGGACCGGAAGUGACGUGAAGAGAGUGAAGCUCCAUGAGGAUGAGACAUGAUUGGGAAAAGAUUAAUUUUGUAUGAACCAACACAGAGGAGCAGCGAGGAGGUGGACGGGCUCUAAACGGGCCCAGCGGAUCAUUAUCGCCACCAGCAGCUUUAUCUGGACACGUCUGACAUGCAGAGGCCUGCAGGACAAGACCAGGCUCAGACUGACUUUCAGUGGAAUUUUAAGAUCCGUCAGCGAUCUUGGAUGUGACUUCUUUGAGUUCAACGUCUGAUACUCGUGAUUAAUAAGAACUUACAGCCACAGAAGUUUCAGUUCGUCACAGUGUUUAAUGUGUCCUCGAGUAUAGUACCUAAUUUCCUUAUUUUGUAAAUAUAAUAAAGACCAUCAUGACUGUAAUAUGAUGAUUUAUUGCACA